rnacentral:lncRNA from 11 species
UUAAACUGCACUAUUGUUGUCCAUCUAUUAUGACAUAAACUAGGAUUUCUGCCCUUGCAUUAAAAUGAAUUGAAGACUGAAAGAAACCAUUGGGAAAAUAUUCAGGAAACCCUGCAAUUCAUUCAUGUUUAUCGAGCUGCCUGGGCACAUGUGGGAAAACGUGAACUCAUCAUUCAGCUGCUGUGGAAGAUCCACAUGAUGCACAGCUGAUUCAUAACAUAUUAGUUAGUAAUAGGACAACUGUAUCG